rnacentral:lncRNA from 1 species
GCCUAAAACCUCACUCGGACACGAGCCAGACCUGCGGGUAGAAACCCAAAGUGAAUUAUAGCAAGCUUGUCGUACAGGGAAAGUGAUGACGUGUCGCUGAAGCAGAUGGAGCCAGGGCACUGGAGGAGGUGGCAGUCGCAGAUGAGCUGGAGCAGCCGGGCGUAUUGGAUGUGGCCACCCCACCAGCACUGCUGGCCUGGGUGCUGCCACUGCCGGCGCCCACAGAGGUCGUAACGGCAACAGCGGGGUUGCGAGUGGGCGUAGCACAAGCAGGCACCCAUGUGGAGGCACCGCUGCCUGACCCAUAAGAAGAAACCGAAGAGGGAGGCCACGCGAGCAACCAAUGGCCGCCAGUGGGGCCAGCACUCCCCGAGGAAGCCUGGGAAGAAGCAGGGCUCCCUGUGGUGACAGCCACUGCCUUGGCCACGCCCAGCUGCUGCAUCUGCAGGGCCACAGGGCCAUGGCUCACCUGCAGGCAGGUUUGCAAAGCACUUCAGGGAUGCUGCUCCUGUCACUUGUGUGUGAAAUACGGCAAAAUCUAUAAAAAUUAUUAAAUU